CAACGUAGGGAACCUGCCCAUGCGGCCGGGACAACUUCCGGAAACGGAUGCUGAUACCGGAUAAGGAAAGCGAAGGCAUCUUUGCUUUGUUAAAGGAGCUGCAAGGCUCCGCGCAUGGAUGGACCUGCGGUGCAUUAGCUGGUUGGUGAGGUAAAGGCUCACCAAGGCGACGAUGCAUAGCCGGCCUGAGAGGGCGAACGGCCACACUGGGACUGAGACACGGCCCAGACUCCUACGGGAGGCAGCAG
rnacentral:rRNA from 1 species